rnacentral:rRNA from 1 species
GAAAAGACAAAACUACAUCUCAAUUGAGGGUGGGCAUGUACUCGGAGUUCCGUGGUGCGCUAAGACUACUAUGUGCUUGUGACCCAGCCAGGAGAUAGGCCGUCGAGGCAACCCCUUCGUGGUUCUAGGUUUGAGGUUCAUAGGCACCUAUAUCCCUUGUCAAUACCAUGUUUAUCUGAACUAACAUGACUGUUAAAAGUCGAACGUGUACCUAGGGAAUAUCAUACGUUAGUUCGAACUACUAUUUAAGAACCUCUCUGCGAUCCACGGUCGACGAGUGACACGCGUACCCUAUCCUCCAGUACGCACCUCCGAUGAGCCUCUCCUGACAUACGUACAGGUACAGGCGCGUGAACCUCGUCGUCGGUUACCUACCAGCCGGUCUCCUCCUGGUCCCAACCUCUAAACCCUAGCCUCUGCGGUUCUUGUUCCCUGGUUCCACGACUUGAUUGCCGUGCCCGUCUUACUAAGAAGUCCAUGGUUGUAUCAGCAGCUGAUCUCUUAAUUCAAUUGACAAACUAAAUGAACUUCGAGGUUUAACAUCAAUAAAAUAAGUAAGUGAUUAAACCAUAUUAGGAUUAGAUCCUCCUAAUAGUGACAUACUAUACUCUAGACCUGCAAAUCGUUACUAUUUUGAGACUG